UACAGAGGGUGCAAACGUUGUUCGGAAUUACUGGGCGUAAAGCGCGUGUAGGCGGCCCUGCAAGUCGGAUGUGAAAUCCCACGGCUCAACCGUGGAAGUGCAUUCGAAACUGCGGGGCUGGAGUACUGGAGAGGAAGGUGGAAUGCUCGGUGUAGAGGUGAAAUUCGUAGAUAUCGAGCGGAACACCGGUGGCGAAGGCGGCCUUCUGGACAGUUACUGACGCUGAGACGCGAAAGCGUGGGGAGCGAACGGG
rnacentral:rRNA from 1 species